GACGAACCGUGCGACCGUUGUUCGGAAUCACUGGGCUUAAAGGGCGCGUAGGCGGGCGGCCGCGUCCGGGGUGAAAUCCCACGGCUCAACCGUGGAACGGCCUCGGAUACGGGCGGCCUCGAGGGGGGUAGGGGCAUCUGGAACUGUGAGUGGAGCGGUGAAAUGCGUUGAUAUUCACAGGAACUCCGGUGGCGAAGGCGAGGUGCUGGACCCCAUCUGACGCUGAGGCGCGAAAGCGUGGGGAGCGAUCCGG
rnacentral:rRNA from 1 species